GGACUACUAGGGUUUCUAAUCCCGUUCGCUCCCCUGGCUUUCGCGUCUCAGCGUCAGCAGACGUCCAGGACCUCGCUUUCGCCACGGGCGUUCCUUCCGAUCUCAACGCAUUUCACCGCUCCACCGGAAGUUCCAGGUCCCCCUACGUCCCUCCAGAGGAGUCGUUUCGGCGCCCCUUCCCCGGUUGAGCCGGGGGCUUUCAGCGACCGACGCACCCCUCCGCCUACACGCGCUUUAAGCCCAGUGAUUCCGAAUAACGUUCGCACGGUUCGUCUUACCGCGGCUGCUGGCAC
rnacentral:rRNA from 1 species